rnacentral:lncRNA from 1 species
GAAGUUAGCGAAAUGCUUUUCUGGAGAAGAUAUUGUCUCUCAGGUCUCAAGGAGCAUUGAGGAAGAAGGGGCAGAAUCACCAGAGCAGCUGUGGUUGCCUCUAUAAGUCCUAUGUGAGAUUAAGCCAGCCAUCAUUCCUUCAUGGAGUCCUAAGUAACUUCUCUGGAAGGAAAGAAAAGAAUAUGGAUUUGCCCCAAAGCUUCUAAUUCCCUGUGUGACCCUAAGAGAAGAGCAGCGAUGACUAAUAGCCAAGAAAUCUCUGUUUUACAAGUUAUUGGCCAGCAAUCCUUUCUGACCUUCUGGAGAGAUAGAGAGACACAGGGCUUGCUAUGAGCUCUGACUACACCAAAAUUCUAAAACUGGAGAAGAUGGGUUUUGCUCUUUCAUGUUCUGCCAUGGUUCUCUUGGAAGUGCAUGUUUGGAAUUUAGGGGAUGGAGGUAGGAAUGGGUUCUCACCCUUUCUUUUCCUGUCACAUGUCUCUCAUUUAUCUUGAGCAAUCAGCCCAUCCUUGCUUGUAAAGCACACCCAGAGGGGAGGCCUGACUUUAUCACCCAUCACAGCUAUUGCAUAGCUUGAGAAAGAAGCUGUCAAUUCUGAAAUGCCAUCUCUCUUGGAGAAUGAAGGAAAUCUGUGAGGUGCCAGAGGCAAGGACAAUGAAUGGUCUAGAAGUGCCUUGUGUUGUCCCUGCUCUGUCACGUAUCUGGGGAAGAAAUGCCUAUAUACUUUACAAAGCUCCCAGGAAGUAGGUUAACAAACUGAGCAUCCCCAAAAGGUCCUUUGAUGUCUCGAGUUUAAAAUAACCAUGUAUAGGUGCUGGAGAAAUGGCUCAGUGUUUAGAUGCAUGAACUAUUUUUGCAGAAGAUAAAAAUUUGGUUCCCAGCACAUGACUGGGCAGCUCAAAGUAAUCUGUAGCACCAACUGCAGGGGAAAUCUGACUCCUCUGGUACUCACUCUCACAUGUACAAUCUCUGCCCCAAACCCUAGCACAUGAAAUGAAAAUAAGUAAAUAAGUAAACAAACAAACAAACAAACAAAUAAACAAAAUUCAUACAUAAAACUUUUAAGCCGAGCGUGGUGGCGCACGCCUUUAAUCCCAG